CCAAAUCAAGAUGUUGACAGGGCUUUGUUCUUUUCUAGUGGCUGAUUGUUAGAAUAUGUGCUUGGCAGAAGUCAGUUCCUCGUGCUUAUAGGAGAAGGUCUGUUUCCUUGCUAGCUGUCAGCUAUGGGCUGUCUUAGCUAUUAAAGGCAACUCUCUGGUCCUUCGGUUGGCCCCCUAUGUCUCAAAACCAGCAUAGGUGCAUCAACUGUUUCUCGUGCUCAGAAUCUCUUGGACUUCCCCUUCUAUAACAUCUUUCCUGCCUUUUCUUCUACCACAUGUGACUCCAGCCUGAGAAAAUGAUCUGCCUUUAAGACUUACGUGAUUAGGUUGGGAUCACCCAGGAUUUUGAAAAAGCAAGCUGACAUAAAUCCUAUAAUCACAAGGAAAUGAGUUUUACCAACAACCAGAGAAAGCUUGGAAGCAGAUUCUUUCUACGUAGAGCCUCCAGAUGAGAACCAGCUAAGUCAUGCCUGGACUUCUGACCCACAGAAACUGAGGAUAAUAAAUGUUUUAAGCCACCAAGUUUGCGAUAAUUUGUUACAAAGCAUAGAAAGCUAACACAGAUGACUUGAAUUCUAAAUUCCAUGUAAAAUUUUAUAACUUUUCUCUUUAUGUAUUCAGAUAAACAAUAUUCCUUACACACAUUUGAAAACAUAUCAAUAUAAGACAGCUAAAUAUUUUUUAAAGUUACAACGUAAUACAAAUAGAAGAUAUAUAAGAAAGCAAAAUCAAAUUAUGUUUUCCUUUCAGAAUUAUAAAACCCCCACCUAGCAAUGCUAGGCUCCUGACAUAAAUUACUGAAAAAUAGUCAGUAAUGAAUUUUAAAGCCAAAACAGAAAGUCUUAGUCCCUUUCUACCAAAAAGGUAUUUAACACAUCUUAAAACAAAAAUCGAGUAACCCGGGGAGGAUAAAAUAAAUUUGUGUCACACCAAAGGAAGAUGUAAAAAUUGUUUGGUUUGCAGAAAAAUCAUUCAAAAUCAUUUCAAUCCUUGGCUCAUAAAUAAUGCAAACUUAAUGAGAUAUUCUAUCCUAACAUGUAUAGAUGAAGUUCUUAAUUAUUUCAAAGGGGAUUGUGCCUACAUACCUGAAAUUUAAACUUUCCCUGUAGAAAACAAUAAAAACAUACACUUCUUUAUAGAUAUAUUUAGAAUGUGUUAUCCCCAACUAAUAUUUUCUAAACUACACACAUACUUAAACACUGAAUUUAAGAUAUAAACUGAGAUCCUUACCAAUUUUGAAUGGAGUUUAAUCACAUCAACCCACAUAAAAGUCUCACAUGAACACAUAUUUUUAUGUGACAUAUUUUUCUUCAAAUAAAUAUUGCUUCUCAGACUUUUUAGCAACUGUGGCAAAAACACUCAUUGUGAAUUUAUUUUUCUUACAGCUUGUAUAUGUUUUCUUUAUCUUGAAUUGUCUGCCCAAGUAGAUGAGAGAUUUGAAAAAUUCUGUCGACAGUGGUAACAGAGUCAGAGGUCAAAAGUUUCCAAGCAUGAACUAAACCUAAACAGCAAGAAAAAUAUCAAAAUGUAUGCAAAAAUACACAGAAAGGUUAUUGAUCUUCUAAAAUCAUACCAGAUUUUAGAAGAAAUACCAGAAAAUAGCCUUAAGGAAAUAAACCUUGUGUUUGUCUAAUAAAACCCAUCAAGAAGUAUGUAAUAAUUACAUCAACCCUCUUGAAAUUUUUUUAAAAAGGCCAAGUCUAUAGAAUGAAUAGUAUCAGGCCAAGAAAAAAAAUUCAGGCCCUGUUUCCAAGGACAAUAAUAGUGGAACAGACAGAUAGUGGCCAGUCUAGCCUGGGGAAUGCAAACCAACCAAGUAAAAAAUUUGACAACUCAGUUUUUUAUAAAAUUAAACCAAUGCUGUGUAUAAAAGUAUCCAGAAUGAAAUGAAGAACUGACUCAUAUUUUGAUAAUUAAUGCUCAAAAAUGUGAAAUUUUCUGUUCCAUUAUUUAGGUAUUUUAAGAAAAAUUUACUUUAAAUUUUUGCUUUAUGUGACUAUAAUAGCUAUAUUUCAUGUAUUAGCAUUUAUACAUACAAAGGCUGUAGAGUUUUACCAGACUUUAUUCGAGGGUCCAGAGUACUUAAAGAGAACAAUACAGGAAUAGAAAUAGCAUAAACUAUAUACUUCAAAUAAUUUCACAGGGCUGUGUAAGCAUUUUAAGGAAUUGAGGCUUUAUCCUAAGCCUAAGGGAAAGCCAUCCAUAUAACCAAAUUUCUGUUUGGAAAAAUGUGCUCUGGUUGUAGUACAGAGAAUUAGUUGUCAGAACAAAGGUGAGAUGGUGGUGAUAUAGAUGCCAAAGUAAGAAAAUAUGAAUGUGCUAUGCUAUUUCACUCUUCUGUCCUUCACCAACCUAUUUUCUCUGCUUCCUUUUCUCUUUGUUCAUAUUUUCAGUUCAAGUUUCACCCCUUCUAUGAAACAUUUCAUGAAGUAUCAGCCCAUUCUGUACAAUCAACCACUCCUGCCUCUGUGCCCAAACAGUAUAUGCUUUUAUCAUGGCCCAUGCCAUUGAAAUGCAUUUAGCUGUAUAUGUAUAUUCGUCCUUGUACAAAUCAAUAAAUAAAUUCUUAAUGAAAUUUAUUUUCUGUCUCCAGCAUCUAAACAAUGUUUUGCCUUGUGCUAAUCAAAAAAGUUCUGGUUGACAUUUGAAAUGGUU
rnacentral:lncRNA from 1 species